ACUAAACUUUUAGUUGCUGCUAUCUGUUGGUUGAUAUAAGACGUCGCCAAGUGAACUUGAGCUACCGAGGUUUUUGUUUCUUCGGGUUCACGACAUUUUAUUUGGUGAAAAUGUGAUGUGCGAAAAUUAAUUAUUAGUUUUAAAGUUCGUAUGCAUAUACACAUGUGAUGAAAUAAAAUUUGAAAUAAUAACGGUGUCGUGUGUGAAGUAUGUGUGUCACGAGUAGUCAACUUGUGUGAUGUUUGUAUAAACAUAAGUUUGGAUACAUAUGUAUAUUAUUGAUUAAAUCUACGCAAAUUAAGUCCAAUCAAUAAAACGAAAAAAAUUGUGAGAAAUAUACAAUCUCUGUCGAAUAUACUUACAUUAUAUAUAGUGCUUUAAUGAAAACGUACUGAAUCAUACUUCCUAUAAAUGAGUAUAAAUAAACAUGACCUGCAUAUCAAAAGAAGCAACAAAAACAUAUCAAAAAAUAUUUAUCUAAAUCUAAAUAAAGAAAUGUCGUCAUUACUGCAA